rnacentral:misc_RNA from 1 species
GAUGAAGAACGCAGCGAACGUGCGAAACGUAAUGUGAAUUGCAGAAUUCAGUGAAUCAUCGAAUCUUUGAACGCAUCUUGCGCUCCUUGGUAUUCCGAGGAGCAUGCCUGUUUGAGUGUCGUGAAUACUCUCAACUUCAACCCUUUUUUCGGACAGGGAGGAAGGUUGGACUUGGGUGUUUGUUGAAGUGCGAGCUUCGACUCAUCCUAAAUGCAUUAGCGAUCUGCCUCGAUCACACACAAUGUGAUAAUUAAAACUAAAGCAUUGUUUAAUGAUCAAGUCGAGACUGCUUCUAACUGUCGCAAGACAAUAACGUGCAUACAUUUGUGCAUGUCAUUUGACCUCAAAUCAGGUAGGACUACCCGCUGAACUUAAGCAUAUCAAUAAGCGGAGGA